AAUGAACGUUGGCGGCGUGGAUUAGGCAUGCAAGUCGUGCGGGCCCGAAAGGGCCAGCGGCGAAAGGGAUAGUAACGCGUGGACAACCAACCCUCGGGACUGGGAUAGCCUCGCCAUAGCAAUAUGGCUCGGGAAACUGGGGUUAGUACCAGAUAACGUCUCCGGACCAAAGGUGUGAUUCCGCCUGAGGACGGGUCCGCGUCCUAUUAGGUAGUUGGUGAGGUAACGGCCCACCAAGCCUGAGAUGGGUAGCGGGUGUGAGAGCACGACCCGCAUCACUGGGACUGAGACACUGCCCAGACACCUACGGGUGGCUGCAGUCGAGAAUCUUCGUCAAUGGGCGCAAGCCUGAACGAGCGACGCCGCGUGCGGGAUGAAGGCCUUCGGUUGUAAACCGCUGUCAGUGGGAGGAAAUGCUGGAGGGUUCUCCUCCAGUUUGACCUAUCCGCAGAGGAAGUACGGGCUAAGUUCGUG
rnacentral:rRNA from 1 species